UGAUGAGACUGUUCACGUUCAAUUCCC
rnacentral:piRNA from 1 species